rnacentral:rRNA from 1 species
GACGGAGGGGGCUAGCGUUGUUCGGAAUUACUGGGCGUAAAGCGCGCGUAGGCGGCGCAUUAGAGAGAGGUGAAAAGCCCCGGGGCUCAACCCCGGAAUUGCCUUUGAGACUGGUGUGCUUGAGUACGGAAGAGGUGAGUGGAAUUCCCAGUGUAGAGGUGAAAUUCGUAGAUAUUGGGAAGAACACCAGUGGCGAAGGCGGCUCACUGGUCCGUAACUGACGCUGAGGUGCGAAAGCGUGGGGGAGCAAAACAGGAUUAGAUACCCCCGUAGUC